AAAGACUAAACUCUCAUCCUCACCAAGCUCUCAUUGCCGAACCCACCCCCUUCCUCCAUCAUCACCAUUAAUCAACCUCAAGCUAAGGGAUUUUGAAGGAAAAAUCAAUUGAAAAUCAAAGAUCCGGCAAGGAACGCAACUAACGGACAAGGAGCACCUUAAACUAGACGGCAGUUAAUCGAUCGAGGUUUUAGGAGUAGCAAGCGAUCCGGCAAGGAACGCAACUAACGGACAAGGAGCACCUUAAACUAGACGGCAGUUAAUCGAUCGAGGUUUUAGGAGUAGCAAGCGCCUUUCCUUUCAGGUAAAAUGUUUUGACGUGACGGACUUCUAUCCUUGUUCAGAAGUCCGUAUUUUGGAAGUAUGUAAAUAAGAAGACGUCGAUCGAUAGUGCUGCAGUAGAUGUCAAGUCCUAGUUAUGAAUAUGGCUUUGCUGAACGAUUUUAAUGUUUUAUCCAACUCUGAUAUGUAAAUAAAGUUUUAAACUGCGCUUUUAACCGUUUACUAUAUUUUGCAAACCGGGCUAUGCUUGAUGUGUGACAUCGCAUGAUAAGACCCUUGCUUAUCGUACAUCGCUUCGGACGAUGUUACAAGUAUUGUAAAUAUUUCAAGUUUAUGAAAAUGUUUUA